rnacentral:rRNA from 1 species
GACGAACGCUGGCGGCGUGCUUAACACAUGCAAGUCGAGCGGUAAGGCCUCUUCGGGGGGUACACGAGCGGCGAACGGGUGAGUAACACGUGGGUGACCUACCCUCAGCUCUGGGAUAAGCCUGGGAAACUGGGUCUAAUACCGGAUAUGACUACAUGUCGCAUGGUGUGUGGUGGAAAGUUUGUCCUUUAUUGGGCACUUCGGUUGGGGAUGGGCCCGCGGCCUAUCAGCUUGUUGGUGGGGNGAUGGCCUACCAAGGCGACGACGGGUAGCCGGCCUGAGAGGGCGACCGGCCACACUGGGACUGAGAUACGGCCCAGACUCCUACGGGAGGCAGCAGUGGGGAAUAUUGCGCAAUGGGCGAAAGCCUGACGCAGCGACGCCGCGUGGGGAUGACGGCC